GGCUCCGUGGUCUAGCGGUUACGACACGUCCCUUUCAAGGACGUAAUGCUGAGUUCAAUUCUCGCCGGAGUCA
rnacentral:tRNA from 1 species